UGGGGAAUUUUGGACAAUGGGCGCAAGCCUGAUCCAGCCAUGCCGCGUGCGGGAAGAAGGCCUUCGGGUUGUAAACCGCUUUUGUCAGGGAAGAAAUCCUUUGAGCUAAUACCUCGGGGGGAUGACGGUACCUGAAGAAUAAGCACCGGCUAACUACGUGCCAGCAGCCGCGGUAAUACAGAGGGUGCAAGCGUUAAUCGGAAUUACUGGGCGUAAAGCGCGCGUAGGUGGUUUGUUAAGUUGGAUGUGAAAUCCCCGGGCUCAGCCUGGGAACUGCAUUUGUGACUGCAUAGCUGGAGUGCGGCGGAGGGGGAUGGAAUUCCGCGUGUAGCAGUGAAAUGCGUAGAUAUGCGGAGGAACACCGAUGGAGAAGGCAAUCCCCUGGGCCUGCACUGACGCUCAUGCACGAAAGCGUGGGGAGCAAACA
rnacentral:rRNA from 1 species